GAUACCAUAAGGUUGAGUCAUGAUUAAGAUUAUGGCUGAAAAGAUGGUUUGGUUGUAUUAGAAAAUUACUUAUUUUUUAAUAUAUAGGUGAAAUUUUUAUUAGAUUUAGUGUUUAUUAGUAAUUAAUUAUAUUGAAACUAUUAAGUUUUUGGUAAAGACUGGGAUUAGAUACCCCAUUAUUCUUAAGAUUAAAUUGUAUAACUGCCAGAGUAUUACGAGUAAAUACUUAAAACUCAAAGAACUUGGCGGUGUUUUAAAUUUUUUAGGGGAACUUGUCUCGUAAUCGAUAGUCCACGUUGUAUCUAUCUUGGGUUUGUGAUCUGCUUGUAUACCGUCGUUUAGUUAACUUUUAAGAAGGUAAUAGUUAGCGAUAUAGAUUAUAGUUAAUCUAGAUAUCAGAUCAAGGUGCAGUUUAUGCUUAAGUGAGGAUGAGUUACAAUUAUAACGUUUGUAUUUCGGAUAAUUUAUUGAAAUAUAGAUUUAAAGUUGGACUUAAAAGUAAAUUAUUUUAUGAAUAUAUAUUGAAUUUUAUUUAAAACGUGC
rnacentral:rRNA from 1 species